rnacentral:rRNA from 1 species
GAGUUUAGAGUUUGAUCAUGGCUCAGGACGAACGCUGGCGGCGUGCCUAAUACAUGCAAGUCGAGCGGACAGAUGGGAGCUUGCUCCCUGAUGUUAGCGGCGGACGGGUGAGUAACACGUGGGUAACCUGCCUGUAAGACUGGGAUAACUCCGGGAAACCGGGGCUAAUACCGGAUGCUUGUUUGAACCGCAUGGUUCAAACAUAAAAGGUGGCUUCGGCUACCACUUACAGAUGGACCCGCGGCGCAUUAGCUAGUUGGUGAGGUAACGGCUCACCAAGGCAACGAUGCGUAGCCGACCUGAGGGGGUGAUCGGCCACACUGGGACUGAGACACGGCCCAGACUCCUACGGGAGGCAGCAGUAGGGAAUCUUCCGCAAUGGACGAAAGUCUGACGGAGCAACGCCGCGUGAGUGAUGAAGGUUUUCGGAUCGUAAAGCUCCUUUGUUAGGGAAGAGCAAGUACCGUUCGAAUAUGGCGGUACCUGGACGGACCUAACCA